rnacentral:rRNA from 1 species
AUUGAACGCUGGCGGCAUGCUUUACACAUGCAAGUCGAACGGUAACAGCACUUCGGUGGCUGACGAGUGGCGAACGGGUGAGUAAUACAUCGGAACGUGCCUAGUAGUGGGGGAUAACUACUCGAAAGAGUAGCUAAUACCGCAUGAGAUCUAAGGAUGAAAGCAGGGGACCUUCGGGCCUUGCGCUACUAGAGCGGCUGAUGGUAGAUUAGGUAGUUGGUGGGAUAAAAGCUUACCAAGCCGACGAUCUGUAGCUGGUCUGAGAGGACGACCAGCCACACUGGGACUGAGACACGGCCCAGACUCCUACGGGAGGCAGCAGUGGGGAAUUUUGGACAAUGGGCGCAAGCCUGAUCCAGCAAUGCCGCGUGCAGGAUGAAGGCCUUCGGGUUGUAAACUGCUUUUGUACGGAACGAAAAGCCCUCUUCUAAUACAGGAGGGUCAUGACGGUACCGGAAGAAUAAGCACCGGCUAACUACGUG